AUUAGGUGUUGUGUGAACCCACGUCCAGCUGUGGUCUGUGUGUUCAGUAUUAGGUGUUGUGUGAACCCACGUCCAGCUGUGGUCUGUGUGUUCAGUAUUAGGUGUUGUGUGAACCCACGUCCAGCUGUGGUCUGUGUGUUCAGUAUUAGGUGUUGUGUGAACCCACGUCCAGCUGUGGUCUGUGUGUUCAGUAUUAGGUGUUGUGUGAACCCACGUCCAGCUGUGGUCUGUGUGUUCAGUAUUAGGUGUUGUGUGAACCCACGUCCAGCUGUGGUCUGUGUGUUCAGUAUUAGGUGUUGUGUGAACCCACGUCCAGCUGUGGUCUGUGUGUUCAGUAUUAGGUGUUGUGUGAACCCACGUCCAGCUGUGGUCUGUGUGUUCAGUAUUAGGUGUUGUGUGAACCCACGUCCAGCUGUGGUCUGUGUGUUCAGUAUUAGGUGUUGUGUGAACCCACGUCCAGCUGUGGUCUGUGUGUUCAGUAUUAGGUGUUG